UACGUAGGGUGCGAGCGUUAAUAGGAAUUACUGGGCGUAAAGCGUGCGCAGGCGGUUCUAUAAGACAGAUGUGAAAUCCCCGGGCUUAACCUGGGAACUGCGUUUGUGACUGUAGGACUCGAGUGUGGCAGAGGGGGGUAGAAUUCCACGUGUAGCAGUGAAAUGCGUAGAGAUGUGGAGGAAUACCGAUGGCGAAGGCAGCCCCCUGGGUUAACACUGACGCUCAUGCACGAAAGCGUGGGGAGCAAACAGG
rnacentral:rRNA from 1 species